rnacentral:rRNA from 1 species
GUGCCUAACACAUGCAAGUCGAACGAAGCAUUUCCUUGGAGAUUCGUCAAAGAGGGGAAUGACUUAGUGGCGGACGGGUGAGUAAUGUAUGAGCAACCUGCCUUCAGAGGGGGACAACAGUUGGAAACGACUGCUAAUACCGCAGUAAUGUAUUGAGGGGGCAUCCCCAUGAUACCAAAGGAGCAAUCCGCUGAAAGAUGGGCUCAUAUCUGAUUAGUUAGUUGGCAGGGUAACGGCCUACCAAGACUGCGAUCAGUAGCCGGACUGAGAGGUUGAACGGCCACAUUGGGACUGAGAUACGGCCCAGACUCCUACGGGAGGCAGCAGUGGGGAAUAUUGGGCAAUGGGCGAAAGCCUGACCCAAGCAACGCCGCGUGAAGGAAGAAGGUCUUCGGAUUGUAAACUUCUUUUAUGAGGGACGAAGGACGUGACGGUACCUCAUGAAUAAGCCACGGCUAACUACGUGCCAGCAGCUGC